rnacentral:sRNA from 1 species
GGGACGCAGUGCAGGGCUCUUCUAUAGU